rnacentral:tRNA from 1 species
GCCUGGGUGGCUCAGUCGGUUAAGCGUCUGACUUCGGCUCAGGUCAUGAUCUCACAGUCUGUGGGUUCAAGCCCCGCAUUGGGCU